rnacentral:lncRNA from 1 species
GUUCCCUGCAAGCCAAGAUGUAACCAGCACCAUGUCUGCCUGCAUGCCACCAUGUUCCCUGCCAUGAUGAUAAUGGACUGAACCUCUGAAACUCACUGGCAGCGUCAUGCCCACUCUGCAUUGCAUCCUCAACAAGACUCUCGGAGGAUGACUGGGAAGAAAGGCCACAUCAAGUUAAGAGGAUUCCAGUUUCACAAAAUCCUCCCAACAGAAUUAUUCAACCUGGUGUCAAAGAAAGGUCUACCUAUUCCAGCAACCCAAGGGCAAGUCUCUGCUAGCUCAGGAAGAAAAGAGGUGGGAGGCUGAAGAAGCCACAGAAACUGAUCCUGCCCAGAACCAAAAUACAGAAGAGGGUUCC